UACGGGGGGGGCAAGCGUUGUUCGGAAUUACUGGGCGUAAAGGGCUCGUAGGUGGCCAACUAAGUCAGACGUGAAAUCCCUCGGCUUAACCGGGGAACUGCGUCUGAUACUGGACGGCUCGAGUUCGGGAGAGGGAUGCGGAAUUCCAGGUGUAGCGGUGAAAUGCGUAGAUAUCUGGAGGAACACCGGUGGCGAAGGCGGCAUCCUGGACCGACACUGACGCUGAUGAGCGAAAGCCAGGGGAGCAAACGGG
rnacentral:rRNA from 1 species